GACGAACGCUGGCGGCGUGCCUAAUACAUGCAAGUCGAACGAACCGCGACUGAGUGCUUGCACUUGGUCAAGGUGAGUGGCGAACGGGUGAGUAACACGUGGGUAACCUGCCUCAUAGUGGGGGAUAACAGUCGGAAACGACUGCUAAUACCGCAUAGGACAUGGAAUCACAUGAUUCUGUGAGGAAAGGUGGCGCAAGCUAUCGCUAAGAGAUGGACCCGCGGUGCAUUAGCUAGUUGGUAGGGUAAGGGCCUACCAAGGCGAUGAUGCAUAGCCGACCUGAGAGGGUGAUCGGCCACAUUGGGACUGAGACACGGCCCAAACUCCUACGGGAGGCAGCAGUAGGGAAUCUUCCGCAAUGGACGCAAGUCUGACGGAGCAACGCCGCGUGAGUCAAGAAGGUCUUCGGAUCGUAAAGCUCUGUUGUUAGAGAAGAACAGCGCAUAGAGUAACUGUUAUGCGUGUGACGGUAUCUAACCAGAAAGCCACGGCUAACUACGU
rnacentral:rRNA from 1 species